rnacentral:misc_RNA from 1 species
GCAACCAUAUAUAUUCAUUAUAAGAGACAACUUAGCUUCUGUUGUAUAGACUAUACAGGGAUUAUGUGCGGCACCACCCCAUUAUUUCGAAGGGGGGUUUUUCAACCAACGAAUUUAUGAUCAUUAAGACUAUACAACUCAGAAAGACACCCGUUCCCUUUGGGAUCAACUUAUACACAACCACUAUACAAGUAACAACACAUUUAAGGACCACUACCAAGGUUGCUUUUGCUUUUUCUUCCUAAAUCAUCUCUGAGCAACAAGAACCAUUUACCCACUUCGCCAAGAAUCUUUCCAUUUUUGCAAAUGAGCGAAACCAGAAACCUUCUUUUUCCCAAGUGAUCAGCACUUGAGGAAGACGAGGAAAUUUACGGGGUAGAAUUUACUGAGAUUUCCUGAGGCAAGCGGGAGUUCAGCUGAUCUACAUAGGCAGGAAUGACAAGUCGUUGCAAUGGUGUUAAAGCCACAGUUAGCUGUGCAAAUGAUGGACGCAAGUUUGGAUCGGUUUGCCAACAUUCCCAUAUUAUUCUUGCUACUAUAGGAUCAAGUUCCUUGGGAAUUUCAAGGCGUUUAUUCUGGAAGCCAACAGCUCCCACCACUUGCAUAGGAUUCAUUCCACUCCAAGGUAAUCUUAAGGUAGCAAGUUCCCAUAGAAUGACACCAAAACUGUAUAUGUCACACUUCUCAUUCGAAGGUUCAUUGCGGAGAACU